UAUUGUCUAUCACUUGACUCAUUUAUCUAUCAUUAACCAUGUUUCAAUUGUCAUGUGAAUAUGCACGUGUUCUCAAUUUGAGAACUUGCUAAUGUGCUAUACAUUAGAAUACUUAUUUAUUUACAUGCGCAAGAUGUGCAUAUAUUUGCUAGAACACUUAAAUUUUUAAAUGAACAUAUAUAUAAGUAAUAUAUUUUGGAAAAACAACACAAAACAGUUUAGACUGUUUAAUUCCAUUUAAACACCGUGUAAAUGGCUAAACGCUAAACAAAAGGCGCCCGUACUGUUUAGCAUUUAGGAUAACAUUGAUUGCAUGUAACCCAGAACAUGAUUAUUUAUGCUAAGUUUGGAC
rnacentral:lncRNA from 1 species